rnacentral:rRNA from 1 species
CGGAUUGAAGGCUGAAAUUCGCCUUCAUGAAGCCGGAAUUGCUAGUAAUGGCAGGUCAGAAUACUGCCGUGAAUACGUUCCCGGGCCUUGUACACACCGCCCGUCACACCAUGAGAGUUGGGAAUACCCGAAGCCUGUGAGCUAACCGAAAGGGAGCAGCAGUCGAAGGUAGAAUCAAUGAUUGGGGUGAAGUCGUAACAAGGUACC